AUUUGGGGAGCAGACAGUCCCAAUACCUCUCCCUAGGGAAGGAGGGUUCCAAGAUAAGGGGUUAAUUCUCAGAGGGAAAGCGGGCUGCUAAAGGGCAACCCGAGGGCUCUGCUCUGACCUGGGGUUUGGUUAAUCUCAACAGCUCACCCUGGACGUGGGCUCUGAGAUGCUGCCGAGCUCCCAGACCCAGAGACAGCGUGCACCGUGGCGAUCGUUUCAGAGAAAACCCAAUUUAUUUAGCUUGUAGUGAAGCGUAAGAUUAAACAUGCAGCAGGCUGCUUAUUGCUUAAGGGAGACUCCUGUUCCCCUGCGCUGGGAGCUCUCUUAUUGCUUCCUUUUGUAGGAAUGUGGGUUCUGGCUGAAUCUUCUCCGCUGCCCUUGGGGUCAACUGUGAGACCCUCCCCUCACACAGACGUGUUGUGUGAACACCAGGGAGAGACAAAUAAAUGACCGUUUGGUCAAAUUGGCAGUUCUUCAGAGCGGUGUCUGUACAACCCUGAAAGCCCGGGCUUUCCGAAUGCUGCUGCAAUACAAAUAAUUGCCUUGAUAUGAACUGGCACAUGCUGUGCCCUGGGUCGGCGGGUGGCUUUGUUGGGUGAAAAGGAAUGUGCACUUCAGUGGAAAAGGGUGUUCUGUGCUCUCACAAGCCAGGGGUUUGUAUCAGCAGUGAGGUCUAAAAGCACAGAGAAACAGCAACUGGUGAGAAUUGCUGGCAAAGAAAAUCCAGAAUCCAUCCAGGUGGGGAUGUCUGCUGUGUUUUCACCCGUUGUGUUUGCUUUGGAAGGAGCAGGGGUAAACCAUGCUGGCCGGAAUGGGACAGCCUGGGUGGGAGCCCGCAGCUCAGGAGGUGUCAGAGGAGAUGUGUGAGCAGCACUACCUCCCCCUUUCCUCACUGCUCCAGGAGAUCCUGAAGUCUGGGAGAAAGAGCAGAGCUGGUUUUGGUCUGGUUUUUUUCUCCUCAGAGCCAAACACUCUCUGAAAUGCUAUGGAUGGUCCAUCCCGAGGUCAGACUCCAGCCUGGCCAGCAGCACGAGUGGUGGGUGGCUGCACGGCUCUGCUUGAGCACAGCACCAGUACAACAGGGCAGCCCCGUUCCUUGGCAGCAGAAGACAGCAGUGAAGACUUGUGCCUGCAGAGAAAACAAGGCAAAGCUCCCGUGGUGGACUCAGGAUGAUGAAUGCACAGAGCCCCUCGAGGAGCCGGCUAACCAGGAGAAAGUCGAGAUCAAAGAUAAGCCUCCUAAUCCGAUAGCAGCAAAUGCAAUCAGACUCUCCAUCUGCCAUCAAAGGCCCUCGCAACCCCACGACUGGGAGCCAGCCCCCCGCCUCCUGCCUGCACAGAUGCCUGCUCACCGCCGAGCCUCCCCGUGCCUCUCACCACAUCCAGCCUGGUGUCACCUCAGAUUAGUGGGCUUCUGGCUCAAAGCCUGUGCCUCCUUUCGGAUGAGAGGUAGGGCAUGAAGAUAUUGCGUGAAUUCUUGAUGGCAUCUGAGCACAGAGCUGAGAUUUGCAGGCUGUGGUGUGCAGCAUCGCCUUUCCUACGAGCCAACCUGUCCUGCCCUCCUGCUCCUUGGGUUGGUCAUCACAGAAUCCCAGACUGCCUGAGGCUGGCAGGGACCUUGGGAGGUCGUUUGGUCCAACCCCCUGCUCAAGCAGGGCCACCCACAGCAGGUUGCCCAGGAUUAUGGUCAGUUGACUUUUGGAUAUCUUCAAGGAUGGAGACCCCACCACCUCUCUCAUCUUCAGGUGAUCAGUGUAGCCUAUGGCUGACUCCAUGAACAACAUGACAAUCCUGCUUGGAGGGCUGUCCCACCCUUUGUGGCCAAGCUGCAGAGGCUUUGUCUCUGUUGGUGGCCCUCAUUUGUCUUGGUGGUUGUGAUGGAGCAGUACUGGGAUGGCUUACUGGAGAUCUGUCACCAGUGCACCAAGUCUACAGCCACCCAGGCACGUUUCCAUCUGUUCCAACCACAUCACACUUUUCCCACCAGCUACAUAUUGAGGUUUGGGGACCCACUAACGAUUCCUGCUUUACUUUUCUUCUUUCUCUAUUCUUAUUUCCUUUGAAAUAUUAAUUAUUCAGAAUGAAAAUCUGU
rnacentral:lncRNA from 1 species